rnacentral:rRNA from 1 species
GGCUUACGGCCAUACCAGCCUG